rnacentral:rRNA from 1 species
UACGGGGGGGGCAAGCGUUGUUCGGAAUUACUGGGCGUAAAGGGCUCGUAGGCGGCCAACUAAGUCGGACGUGAAAUCCCCAGGCUCAACCUGGGAACUGCGUCCGAUACUGGAUGGCUUGAAUCCGGGAGAGGGAUGCAGAAUUCCAGGUGUAGCGGUGAAAUGCGUAGAUAUCUGGAGGAAUACCGGUGGCGAAAGCGGCUCUCUAGGACGGUACUGACGCUGAGACGCGAAAGCGUGGGGAGCGAACAGG